UUAUUUCUUUUACGGGUAUUGGUUUAGCCAGCGGCGCGCCUGAUACCCCACAGGCGCCCCAGAGCAAAGGGUCGCCACCAGCCAGUUUCACGAAACCCCGGUCGGCCACCCGACCGGGGU
rfam:Pseudomonas alcaligenes NBRC 14159 DNA, contig: PA6026.